CGGCCGCUGAGCCGGACUGAGGCGCGGGAGCGGGGCUGCGAGGCGGGCUGCGGAGCCCUGGAGAGUCAUUGAAGAAGGAAAAGAGGAAGCACACUGGAUGAGUUAAGUAGAGCUGAGCACAUGGAAGGUCGCACUAGGAAGUAGGAAUUGUUGAGCAGCGGGCAAGAGGUUAGAAGGAAGAUGGAGGUUGCAGUGCCAGCUAAUAACAGAAUGGGAGUGGAAUUCAGAACAUUCAGAUGUGGAGUUAAUGUGCGUCACUGCUGCCAGCCCCACUGCCAGCGAUAGGUUCUGUGUUUUUCCAGUGGGAAACUCUGAUCCACAGAGAUGCCUGCCGACCUGCACCUCCUUGCUCUUGUCUGCUUUUCUCCUGAUUGUUGCUUACUCUUUGAAACAUCAGCUGACUGUACAGAGCCUCUGUGGAAGCAGAUUUCAGGACAAAGGUCAUGUGUAAAAGCAGCACAUUUGCCUUCAGGCUUAAAGAAACCCUCUUCAAGACAAUGCUCUACAGUCUCCUGAAAGAAACCAUUACUACUGAUGAUUGAACUUGUGCCUUCUGCCAAGGAUGCAGACUGCUCCGGGCAAGGACAGCUCUGCUGGAAGUAGGCGAACUCUGACUCCACUUGUGCUCUCAUCGCUCUUACUGAGAAAUUAAUAAGAAGGACAUUGGGAUAUUCCAGAUCAAAGCUGGGAUUGAGUUUUAGCUUUUCAAAUCUUAUUGAAAAAUAUUAAACCAAUUAUAUUAUUAAAUAUAUUUAUUGUCUGAGCCACUUCUGGGGUAUAGAAAUGUAUCAGGGAAAAAAAUUCUUGCUAUAGAAUUUAGAGAUAAAUAAUAUGUCAUGAGAGACCUGUGUAGUCUGUGUAUUUAUGUAAAAUAAUCCAGCUUUAUUCAGUGAUUAUUUUGCCUUUUCAGUUCUUUGGUUCCAAAUUAAUUUUAGUAUUUCAGAAUGCUGAUUUCAUUGUCUAUGGAACACUUCCAGACAUAAACUAUUUUCGUCCUCAUAUAUCUUCAUUGUAACAAUAGUGAAUGUGACAUGGCUAACUCGUAUAAAUAAGUGAACAUGCUUGAGUAGUCAGUAUAGAUUUAUUUUAUAUGCAUGUCACAUAUCUUUGUUGAAAAGAUAGUGUUAACCAGUUAUUAAAAAGUUGUAUAUUUAUUUACUGUCUUAUAUAAAUGCAAAUAUUAUAAUUAUACAAGUAAACUUACUUUGAAACCUUUGCUCAAAUUUAUAGUUUUCUCUUCACAUAUUUGUAUAAUUUAACAAUGCUGUAGACACUUUAAAAGAAUAUCAGU